rnacentral:lncRNA from 1 species
GUAAGUUUUUGGUUGCUGUUUGUGUGGGAUCAGCCCAUUUAAAAGCUGGAGGCCCAACAAGAAGUCAGAGCCGCCCAACGUUCUAAUAUAACAAAGGCGUGUUUCUAACAAAUUACAGGUAACGUUUCUUCUAGGAUGAUGACACUUGGCAAAAAUAAAACCGUUGGAUGGAGAAGUGAUCAUUUUCACACAUAUUAGGGUUAGAAACUUGUAGGGUUUUACUUUCAUUUUCUCGAACAGCUUCUAGAAUUCUCUAUUCUCUCUCUGUAAUUUCUUUCUUCGUGAAUCUCUGAAAUCGUGUGUAAUUUUUGAGAGUUUGAGAGUUGAUGAACUCUUGUAUGAGUCCAUCCUGUUUGUAACAAGGCCAUGUGUUGGCCGUGAACUGAACUCUGCGUUCCGUGUAUUGUUGAAGCUGUUCUUGGCCGAUUUUUUUAGUGGAUUUAAGCUUAUUCCUUUGUGGAUGCUCAACGGGGAUUAGACAACUGAGAAGUUGUUGAACCUCGGGGUUUAGGCCGAAAAAUCGCUGUGUUCUUAUUUUUGUGUUUUUCAGAUCUACACUUGAUCUUGUAUAUUUUUGCGAUUUCUUGCAUCUUUGACUUCGAUUCUGAACCUACAGUGGUAUCAGAGCUUUUGGAAAAAUUGUUGUUGUCGUUUUCAGACUCUUUGAGUUUAGGGUUCUGAAACUGGAACCAAGAGAGGUUCUCCGGCCAAAAAGAAAAACGGCAGAUCUUUUCAGAUCUGCCAACAGUCAACUUUAUUUUUUUGUUUAUGCCCUUUUUUCUUUAUUUUUGGUUCGUAAAAGAAAUUUUUUUUAAAGGAAAGGAAGCUGUCCUUUGGGUGUAUUUCUCUAAAAAUAUCGAGAUCUUGAGCUGUUUUGUUGUUCUCUUAAAAAGUAAAAGGAAGAUAUAUAAUUUUACUUUUCUGGAACCUACGGUAUUUUAUCAAAUAAUCCUCUGUUCAGGUUUUGUCAAGUGAUUUUUUGUUGGGGUCUUGUGAUCAUCAGUGCCUCUUGAGUAUUAUUUUGAAAUCUUGUAGUUUCGUGUGAUCCCUUGGGGUUACCUGCAAACACUUGCAGUGAAUUAGUUUGGGGUAACAAAAUUUUUUUCUAAAAAAAAAAAAAAAAAAAAAAACAAGGUCUCAAGCUGAAUCUCCCCUAAAUCUUCCUCUGUCUAGGGGUCCCUAUGAGAACCCUAGAAUCUUUGGGGAUUAGGGCUUCGAUUCUUGAAACCUAUGCCACUUGUGUGUGUGAAUUCUAGCAAUACCCAGAAUUGAAAUACUGUAUUCCUGAAUUGCAUACUCAUUUGUUAAAUUGCACUAAUAUUUUUCUUUUGAUCUCCUCAGGUGUGAAUUACAGUUUUCACCUGAAAAUAAUUCCCUACGAAAGGUAUAAAUAUUUUUAUUAUACCAUUUGAUAGCUUACUGUGUGUAACUAUUUAAAAAAAAAAACUCCAUUGUAUGCUUAGUGAUAUGUGUUAUUAAUCUGUAUUGAUCUAUGUGACAUACUUAUGUACACAUCACACUAGAGCACAAGUAAUAUGAAAUUGUGAAAUUGGAAUAAAUUGACAUUGAUCUGCUGUGACAUACUGUUGACUGAAUAAUUGUUGUGGGAUAAAUUUUGUUUGUUGUAUCUACUUGUGCACUGUUUUGAUAUAUAUAUAUAUAUAUAUAUCACUGCACACAAUGAACUCUAAGGUAGAUGUCCAAAUUUGGGAUGGCAAAGGAGACUUUAGUCUCUGGCGCCAAAAAAUGAGAGCCCUUAUGCUACAGUUGAAAUGUAAUAAGGCCAUUGAUGAAUCUUGGCCAGAAAACCUACCUGAGGUUAGGAAAACUGAACAAGAUGAACUGGCCUGGAGCACUUUGUUCCUGCAUUUGUCUGAUUCUGUGAUUAGGAAAGUAGGAGAAACUAGUACUGCUGUAGAACUUUGGACUGCCUUAGAAAAACAUUAUCUCACAAAGACUGUACCAAAUAAGUGUUUUCUAUGGCGACAAUUCUUCAGCUUUAAGUUUGACCCUAACCUUGAAAUAGAAGAUAGCAUGGAUAAAUUCAAUAGGAUCACACAAGACUUAGUGAACUGUGAUGAAAAGAUAUCUGAUGAACAAAAAGUUGUUGGUCUACUUAAUGCUUUAGGAGAUAAAUAUAAAGAUAUAAGAAACGCCCUAGAGUAUGGUAAGAGUGAUCUCACUGUUGAAAUAAUCCACAGUUCUCUCCUAAGUAGAAAACUGGAAUCUAAAUCUGAACACAAAGUGGUGUUCAAUACUAUGGGUGUGCAAUCAAACCAAAAGACCCACAUGAAGGGUGUGAGUAAUUUCAGUCAUUCUAAUUUUAACAAGGAUAAAAACUUCAUCAAAAGAAAAUGGAGUAACACAAGAGUUAAGGACAAGAAACCAAAUAAAGGAAAACCAAACAACACAAACAAUAGAAAAUGCUUCUACUAUGGUAGGACUGGGCACUAUAUAAAGGACUAUUUCAAAAAGGCCAAUGAUCAAAGAAAUGGGUCUAACACUGAAAAUGCUUCUUUAGCCAUUGCUGCUAAUCAAAAAGAAGCUGGAAUCAAUAAUGGGGUUGCCUAUGUGUCUGUAACUGAAAGAAGUAAUCAGGAUUGGGUCCUAGAUUCAGGAUGCUCUUUCCAUAUGACACCCAAUAUUGACUGCCUCUCAGACUUUUGUAGUCUUGAUGGAGGAUCGAUAAAAGUUGGAAAUGACGAGUCAUGUCAAGUAAAGGGUGUUGGCAAUGUGUUGCUGAAACUCAAAAAUGGUCAUCACAUGCUGUUGAAACAUACUAGAUAUGUGCCAGCACUUCGAAGAAAUCUCAUAUCCCUAGGAGUUCUUGAUGAUUAAUAUUAUCAAAUUGAAAUAAAGAAUGGUUUUACAAAUAUAAAAAGAGAUCAGGAACUAAUUGUUAGUUCACCCAAGUAUAAUGGGAUUUAUAUAUUAGGUGCCGAAAUAAUCUCACCUAAUAAUGCUGUGAAUUUUGUCACACAUCCCGAUAAAUCAGAAUUAUGGCAUAAAAGACUUGGCCAUUUAGGUGAAAAAGGUUUGAAAAAUCUAUCACAUCCAGGGGCAUUUGGAAGAGACAGCGUUCAAAAACUAACCUUUUGUGAACACUGUAUAAUGGGAAAGCAAGUCAGACUGCAUUUCAAGGUAGGGCUGCACAAAUCCUAAGAUGUCCUUGAAUACAUACAUUCUGAUUUAUGGGGACCUGCACCUGUUUCAACUAUCUCUGGUUAUAGAUAUUAUCUUCUUAUCACUGAUGACUAUUCCAGAAAAAUAUGGAUUUUCUUAUUAAAAUCUAAGUCUGAUAAUUUUGCAAUUUUCAAAGAAUGGAAUGUAUUAAUUGAAAAUCAGACUGGUAAGAAGAUAAAAUUUUUAAGAACUGACAACGGUCUUGAAUUUUGUAACACAGAAUUUGAUCAGUAUUGUGGAAAACAAGGGAUUAUGAGACAUAGAACUGUAAUCUAUACCCCUCAGCAAAAUGGAGUUGUUAAGAGGUUAAAUAGAACCAUUCUUGAGAGGACCAGAUGUAUGUUAAUUAGUUCUGGCCUACCAAAAGUCUUCUGGGGAGGAGCAGUAAAAACUGCAUGUUAUCUAAUUAAUAGAUGUCCAUCCAGCUUUUUGAAUAAUCAGAUUCCUGAACAAAUCUGGUCUGGCACAAUCCCAAAUUAUUCCUACCUAAGAACUUUUGGAUGUGCAGCUUAUGCACAUCACACUGAAUCAAAACUGGAUCCUAGAUCUCUGAAGGGUGUGUUCUUAGGAUAUGGAGAAGGUGUUAAAGGGUAUAGACUGUGGUUAAAAGAUGUGAGAGGUUAUAAAGUGAUAAUAAGUAGAUCUGUUAUUUUUAACGAAGAUGUCUUUCCUUGUCUUAGUGACAAAUCUGAUGAAAGAUUAGGAAAUGAUGAUUUUGUUAUCACAGAAAUCAAUUUUGAUACCCAAAACAUAAAUGACCAGGCUCAGUUUGAGGUAGAGCCACAUCAGGUGGAACCACAGAUUACUAUAGAUGAUGAUAUCCCUGAAAAUGAGCAAUGUUUGGAGCCUGCACAUGACCUGCAGGACUACCAGCUUGCUAGGGACAGAGAUAGGAGGCAAAUCAAGCCUCCUACUAGGUAUCAAUAUGCUGAUUUUGCAACUGAUCAGUCCGAGUCUGAUUUGUUUGAUUCAGAACCUACCUCUUAUGAAGAGGCUAUCUCCUCUAAGGAAUUCCCUAAGUGGAAUGCUGCAAUGAAAGAGGAAAUGAACUCCCUCUAUAAAAAUCAAACCUGGAUUUUAGUUGAAAGACCAAAAGAUUGCAAAUUGAUUGAUUGUAAAUGGGUCUAUAAGAUUAAAGAAGGUGAGAUUGAAACUAGUGAUAAAAGGUACAAGGCAAGACUUGUAGCAAAAGGCUUCAAUCAAAGAGAAGGGAUAGACUACACUGAAAUUUUUUCACCGGUUAAAUAUACAUCCAUUAGAAUCCUACUUGCCUUAGUGACACAGUUUAACUUGGAGUUAGAACAACUUGAUGUGAAAACUGCUUCUUGUAUGGUUUUUUGGAUGAAACCAUACAUAUGACUCAACCAAAGGGUUUUGAAGUAAAAGGAAAGGGGAACUUAGUGUGUCUCUUAAAAAAAUCCUUGUAUGGCCUAAAACAAGCUCCUAGGCAGUGGUAUAAAAGAUUUGACUCGUUUAUACAAGGUUUAGACUUUAAGAAAUUUGAAUAUGGUCCCUGUUUUUAUUUUAAGAAAGAUGGUAAAUCUGAAUUUUCUAUGUUCUCUUGUAUGUUGAUGAUAUGCUCCUAGCUGGACAUAAUUCUGUUACACUCAAUCAAAUUAAAGAAAAUCUGAAAUCUGAAUUUGAAAUGAAAGACCUUGGACCAGCUAGAAAAAUUUUGGGCAUGGAAAUAAAAAGGGAUAGAAUAAAUGGAAAAUUGUUCCUAACUCAAAAAUCUUAUAUUGAUAAGGUAGUAAAAAGAUUUUCUCUUCAUGAUUCUAAACCUGUUAGUCUACCUCUAUCUUCGUGCAUGAAACUAUCUGUUAAUCACUCACCAAAAACUGAAGAAGAACAUAAUAGGAUGAUGAAUGUUCCAUACUCUAAUACUGUUGGAUCUGUUAUGUAUAUUAUGGUAUGUACUAGACCUGAUAUUGCUUUUGCUGUGAGUGUGUUAAGCAGACUUAUGAGUAACCCAGGUGAAAUACAUUGGCAAUGUAUGAAAAAUCUGAUUAAAUACUUAAAAGGUACUAGCCAAUUAGGUUUAAUGUUCAAAACUGAUAAAAAUGGACUUAGACUUAAGGGUUAUGUAGAUUCAGACUUUGCUGGAAAUCCUGAUAACAGGAAGUCCACAACUGCAUAUUUUUAUGUCAUUAAUAACACAUGCAUUAGCUGGAAAUCCCAACUUCAAAAACCGGUUGCAUUAUCUUCAACUGAGACUGAAUAUAUUGCUGCAACUGAGGCUGUUAAAGAGGGGUUAUGGUUAAAGGGAUUACUUGGUGAGUUAGGUCUUGUAGAAAAUGAGGUGGAGCUAUGUUCUGACAACCAAAGUGCAAUUUUUAUAAGUAAAAAUCCAAUCUUGCAUGAUAGAUCAAAGCAUAUAGAUGUAAAGUUUCAUUUUAUUAGAGAUAUCAUAGAUAGAGGUGAUAUUAAAUUGACAAAAAUAUCUAUCAAGGUAAACCCUGCAGAUGCUGGAACCAAGGUAAUUCCUAUCAAUAAGUUUGCUGAUUCUUUGAGAUUAAUAAAUCUUGAAGAAGGCUAAUUCUUUUUAUUUUUGCAGGUAAUAAGAGCAAAUGAAACAAAUGAUAAGUUCUUGAAUCCACAAUGGUGCAAGCAAAUAGCAAAGGUGGAGAUUGUAAGUUUUUGGUUGCUGUUUGUGUGGGAUCAGCCCAUUUAAAAGCUGGAGGCCCAACAAGAAGUCAGACCCGCCCAAUGUUCUAAUAUAACAAAGGCGUGUUUCUAACAAAUUACAAGUAACGUUUCUUCUAGGAUGAUGACACUUGGCAAAAAUAAAACCGUUGGAUGGAGAAGUGAUCAUUUUCACACAUAUUAGGGUUAGAAAUUUGUAGGGUUUUACUUUCAUUUUCUCGAACAGCUUCUAGAAUUCUCUAUUCUCUCUCUGUAAUUUCUUUCUUCGUGAAUCUCUGAAAUCGUGUGUAAUUUUUGAGAGUUUGAGAGUUGAUGAACUCUUGUGUGAGUCCAUCCUGUUUGUAACAAGGCCAUGUGUUGGCCGUGAACUGAACUCUGCGUUCUGUGUAUUGUUGAAACUGUUCUUGGCCGGUUUUUUUAGUAGAUUCGAGUUUAUUCCUUUGUGGAUGCUCAACGGGGAUUAGACAAUUGAGAAGUUGUUGAACCUCGGGGCUCAGGCUGAAAAAUCGCUGUGUUCUUAUUUUUGUGUUUUUCAGAUCUACACUUGAUCUUGUAUAUUUUUGUGAUUUCUUGCGUCUUUGACUUCGAUUUUGAACCUACAG